GGCAGGGGCAGGCUCUGUGAGGCUGCUUCCCAGGAGUACUCUCAGGUUGCCUGCACCUGGCUGUCCCUGGGCCUGUCCUUGUUCAGGGGACAUCAGGGUUGCUCUUAUGAUGCCAGCAGAGGAAGGUCCUGAGGGCCCUGUCAGGAUUCCAGCAAUGGGAGGAGAAAUGGGCGCUGUGCUCAUCGCUCACGAGUCAGCCAUAGGUGAGUCUGCAUCUUCUCUCCUGCAAGGAGCAAGACCUGGAUUGAGACGGGCAGCAUAGCUGGGAUGUGGGGAGGGCAGCAGCUGGGCCGUGUCCUCUGGAUCUGCCCUAGGGAGGCAGAGGUUCCCGGUGCAUUGGGAAGGUGGACCGGAAGGAGCCCAAGACAACCUGGGAUGUGCCUGGAAGGGAGCAUCUGAGCUGCUGGGGAUUCCACGCAGCAUCCUCGGCAGCUGAUGAGCGUGUAAGGACCAAAGCUGGGAAUGCCAGCAGGGGUGCCAGAGCUGGAAGUGUGUACGUAGCU
rnacentral:lncRNA from 1 species